UUCCUUGUACAACUGUUCUGCUUUUCUGACAGCCCAUGAAUUCUUCUGUUGUUCUCUGUCAUCACACUGCUGCUCUCUGCUGUCUGUAAGAAGAAUUCACAUGAAAUUGUUACAGAGGUGGCAUUCAUUUUGGGUUGACCUCUGAAGUUUACGCAAAGAAGGUGACAGUGCAGCAGGAAGAAGAAAGAAAGCAAAAUACAACUUCUUCAGUUAGAUGAAGAUUCCAG